UUAGCAGUGAUGAGCAGCUAACAUGUAAGAAAAUCUCACUUUGUGUUGGAUCUUCGAUGCAAUUGAAUUGUUACGCUUGGCUUCUGAGCACA